UUGGUGGUAGACAUCAGAUAAACAUAUAAAACCUACGUAAAAUAAAUUUUCUUCAGUAUUUUACGCUGUAUUUUAAGAAAAUGCUGUUGUUCGCAUUUAUUAUUGCACUUGGAGCAGUUUCUGUAAGAUCUGAUGAAUGUUUAACAGUUGCAUCAGGUACAAUACUACCUGGCUCCCGCCUGGUUCCAGUUGCAGAUGUGGUGGUCGGCCCUGGUUACGUUGACUGGAAAAUAACUUAUCCUCUGCCACAGUGUGAUUCGCCAGUCUUGGAGGUUACCGUUUGCGAUGAGGUACUUUCACAAGUGCAGUUUGCAUCAGAUGUCGGUGUAAUCAUUGUGUACUUACAUCGCACAGGAUCUGUGUCCACUUCCGUCGUAGUACACGGCAAGUACUGGUGUUCACCGUACUCCGGCGGGUUAACUAAGUUCCGUGCAGACUCUGCGGUGCAACCACUUGCAACCGCUUUGGCAUGAUCGUCUCAUAACAAUUAAUUUGUAUUUUGACGUUUUGUUAAAAGAUUAAAAUGAUACAUCAUUA